CCCCUCCUCCCCCGAAGGGACAGGGACAAAGACUCUCCUCAAGUGGUAGCUCUGCUAGAGAGCCUUCCCCCCCUUCCCUGUAAUUCCCUUCCCAUAUGACUGAAGCCCAAAAUGCUCCCAUCCGUGAAGUCCUUUGUGCCUCCUUGCUGCAACACCUGAUCCUGAAGGAGGGAAGGUUGAUGGGGGAGUGGAAGGUCUGGAAAAGCCACCUUGCCAUCCUCUCUCAGCCCCCAAUGUCUGUAUAGGCACGCAGACCUCUCUAAGCUCCGUAUUCCCUAUGCACUGUUGGAAGAGUUCUUCCCCCUAAACACGCACGCACUGCAGGUCCCCGGAGCCCUGCGCGACGCGUGUCCUGGGAGUUGUACCUUGGAACUACGCCAGUCUGUUGAACUUCAUAGCAGGAUUUUCUGGAUUUCACCUCUGAGGAAAUGAGAUGCUCCAUGGAGUGGAGCCACUGCAAGUUCCUGUUCCACGAGAUACACAGCACUGCAAGCAGACACAGCAUCGUGGCAGCUGUAGAGCUUUGCUUGGGGAAGCACAUGUAACUGAGGUGGUUGUAAGAUACGUGUCCAAAAGGUGCUCUUAGAAGGAUUAACUGCUUACAGCUGCGAAUACCACACAACUUUUUCAUGGCCAGUUGUAGCCUCCAGUGUUAUUCCGAAGCCCUGGAAGUGGGACGUGUUUGCUUCUUUUCCUGAUUUUUACUGUGAGGUGGGAAAUAAAUUUCAACCUUUGAAAUUCCUGGCUAACUCUAGAAAAAUCUCCAGCAUGGCUCUUCCUUGUGUUUGGAAAGAAAGUAGUCCUUCAUGCAUAGACAUCUCUCUUUUGGGACACUUGGCAAAUAUUAUUUAGCUCAGCCUCCAAGUCUUCCUGUAAAGUACAUAAAUGGCUUUUAUUUUCCCCUUUUUAA